rnacentral:rRNA from 1 species
GUAACCAUUUGGAGCUAGCCGUCGAAGGUGGGACAAAUGAUUGGGGUGAAGUCGUAACAAGGUAGCCGUAUCGGAAGGUGCGGCUGGAUCACCUCCUUUCUAAGGA